UACGUAGGGUGCGAGCGUUGUCAGGAAUUAUUGGGCGUAAAGGGCUCGUAGGCGGUUUGUCGCGUCGGGAGUGAAAACACCGGGCUUAACUCGGUGCUUGCUUUCGAUACGGGCAGACUAGAGGUAUGCAGGGGAGAACGGAAUUCCUGGUGUAGCGGUGAAAUGCGCAGAUAUCAGGAGGAACACCGGUGGCGAAGGCGGUUCUCUGGGCAUUACCUGACGCUGAGGAGCGAAAGUGUGGGGAGCGAACAGG
rnacentral:rRNA from 1 species